ACCCACUCGCAUCCAGAUUCCCACCCACCCACUCUUCUCCUCCUCGAUGAAACCACUAUCACAGAAGUCACCGAGACCAUCACCACCGUCAUGACCACCACGACUGAGCCGCCGUCACGAUCGAAGACUGAAAUGGAUUCCCAUGGCCGACGACGAGUUCGUCGGCGUCGCGUGUCGUAAGUUUCAAUGAAACUGAAGCUGCACAAGGACUGGGGAAGCACUCAUGCUGCAAUAGACAAUUAUUUGGCUGUUGGAGAUCAAUAUGACGUCCAGACACCUUGAAUGGGUAUGGAUUUGAAGAGCAUACAAUUGCUGCUUUUAAAGGAAGAGAAAGGGUGGGUUUUGAUGAAUUUUUAUUGUUGCAGAAGAGGUGGUCUCUCGGAAUUGGGAGGAAGAAACAAGGUGGAUUUCUAGUGGAUUUGCAGAAGAAGUAGAGAUGUCCCUCGAGUUGGACACAUGGACCCGUCCGGUUCGUUUCAAACGGGUCGAAUUAGGUCGGUUCCAAAUCUCAGAAUCCUUCUACUCGGCUCGGCCCGCCCUGAUGUAUUUUAAAGUGGAUCUGGUUCAGUCCCUUCAAAUUUGGGCUGGUCUGGUCCGUACCCACCCCUAGUUCUAAUACCUCCCUUCCCUUCCACACAAAAAAUGCAGGGUUUCUCAGGCAAUGGGACAAUAUUUUUGAUAUGAUAGCAAUAAAAUGAUCAUGCAAUGGUAAUGCACUGUCUUCUGGUUAUUCCAAAUAUGUAAUGAUACAUCAGUGGGGGUUUGCAUUUUAGCAUGUCAAGAAGACAUAAUUUCAUACAGGCUCUAUAAA